rnacentral:rRNA from 1 species
ACGUACAAGCAGUGGGAGCACAGGUUUACCUGUGUGACUGCGUACCUUUUGUAUAAUGGGUCAGCGACUUAUAUUCUGUAGCAAGGUUAACCGAAUAGGGGAGCCGGAGGGAAACCGAGUCUUAACCGGGCGUUAAGUUGCAGGGUAUAGACCCGAAACCCGGUGAUCUAGCCAUGGGCAGGUUGAAGGUUGGGUAACACUAACUGGAGGACCGAACCGACUAAUGUUGAAAAAUUAGCGGAUGACCUGUGGCU